rnacentral:rRNA from 1 species
UACGUAGGGUGCAAGCGUUAAUCGGAAUUACUGGGCGUAAAGCGUGCGCAGGCGGUUGUGCAAGACAGAGGUGAAAUCCCCGAGCUUAACUUGGGAACUGCCUUUGUGACUGCAUGGCUAGAGUGUGUCAGAGGGGGGUAGAAUUCCACGUGUAGCAGUGAAAUGCGUAGAUAUGUGGAGGAAUACCGAUGGCGAAGGCAGCCCCCUGGGAUAACACUGACGCUCAUGCACGAAAGCGUGGGGAGCAAACAGG